rnacentral:rRNA from 1 species
UAGUUUAGUGGCGGACGGGUGAGUAACACGUGAGCAACCUGCCUUCGAGAGGGGAAUAACGGCUGGAAACGGUCGCUAAUACCGCAUAACAUACAGGAGGGACAUCCCUUUUGUAUCAAAGAUUUAUCGCUCGAAGAUGGGCUCGCGUCCGAUUAGGUAGUUGGUGAGGUAACGGCCCACCAAGCCGACGAUCGGUAGCCGGACUGAGAGGUUGAACGGCCACAUUGGGACUGAGACACGGACCAGACUCCUACGGAAGGCAGCAG